ensembl:lncRNA
UUAAAUACAAGUUUUUUAAAGUUCACUCCUUCAUUUUUUUAGUGACACAUUAGCAAUGUUAUGUGCACAGCUGCUGAAGUUCACUGUGCCAGGCGGGCAGGUUCCCCUAAUCAAACUCUCCAGCAGUGCUGACCGCUGGAAGGUUCUUUCCUGAAUGUGUCUCCUGCCUUUGUUCUACCUUGUGCAACAGAGUCUGUCUAAACCAUCUUCCAUGUGGCAGAUCUUCAGCCUUUGGGAAAUAAUUCUCAUGUUCUCCUUGCACUUAGUAGGCAUCCCCAUUUCCUCAGAGAACUUGGUUUUGAGUCCCUGCGCCAGCCGGUCACUGAUCUCGGAAGCCGUUCGCCGUCCUCCACCCAUCCGUUAGGUGCUGUGAGCACCUCACUUCAGCCAGGUGCUUGGGAUGCGUCAGUCUUAGGCCCAGAGCCAAACGCUACAUUCAAGUGAAGUCCAUCUAUAGCUUUGAUGAACAUGCCACCCAUAUUUUCAUGAAAAUCACUGAACAAAUAAGAACUAGACAGACCUGAGUAGUCAGUCUCUUAGAGCCUACUAACCACUGCCUCCUGUGACAGAUGGUUCUCUGAGGCCCCUGCUCAAGGAAACUGGACCUCACGGCAAACAGCUUGGUUCUCUCAUACACGUACUUCAUCCUAGCCUUCAGCUGAAGCAGAGCCAAAAUGAGCAAGAAAAGGAGGAAAGACUACAUGGAGGAGGGAAAACACCAGAGAAAAGAUCUGCUUUGUGAAGAAAGUGUCUCACAUGGUUCUAAUCCAGAAAUCAGAAUCAUCAGCCAGAUUAACAGGUAAAAUAACCAUACUUAACCCAUAAUUAAUAAAUGUCGUAUUUAAGACUCAGACUAUAUAAGCCAAGUAGUAGUGAGAAUAUCGGGAUACAUCAGUGAUACAUUAGGAAGGAUAGUAUACUUUUUUCUUUUACCUUUGCUAUUUAAUUUGGCAUUACUUGACUUAUUUAUGAAAGCUAACUAGAUUAUAUACUUUAUGUCACAAAAAUACUGAUUUGCAUAGC